AAAUUUUACUGUUUUUAUCAUGUUUAGAAAAUCUUAAUACAGGUUUUGACACCACUUCAAAUCAUUUGCUAAUUUAUAAUAACAGGUAUCAAAAUACUGUUAAAAAAAGACUAGUGUUUUGUAUUAAAAGACAUGCCUACUUCUCCAGAGCUAUGAAUGUACACAUCAAGAAAAUGUACGUCACUAUUGCCACCUUCUCUAUAAUGGGAGUCAUAUUAAGUGUCAGUGUUAUUGCUUUUCUUUUCUCGUUUCAAGGGAAUUUCGAAAACAGAUACAUUCGUAUAACUACUCUGGUUUUUACGAUGGUAACUGUGUCCACUCAUAUUUUAUACGUUGGUCAAUUGAUUGAAGAUGCAGCUUUUCAGGUCUAUACAACUUUGAAAACGGUAGACUGGAACAACUGGAAUCUUGAAAACAGAAAAUUGUAUCUCAUAUAUUUGCAAAAUGCCCAAAUAAUUUUCUCAAUAAAAUUUACUCAAGACGUCUCUAUCAAUUAUAGACUGGGUUUUUCGAUGGCGAAAGCUAUUUAUUCGAUGAUUUCAGUCAUGAGCAAACUUCGCAAUGUUGACUACUCAAAAAUUUAGCGAAGAAGUUUAAAUUUCUCUUAGUAAUGUAGUUAAAGUCGUUGUAUUAAUUCAAACAUCGUAAUAACAAGAUGAAUUAGUAAUAAUCCACUUGCCAUAAUAUUAACAUUAAAUUUUUACACUUAAUGAGAAACAAAUACACAUUUUAAGCACCUCUUGUGACAAUGAUUCGUAAUAAAGAUUUUUUG